GUGGGGAAUCUUGCGCAAUGGGCGAAAGCCUGACGCAGCCAUGCCGCGUGAAUGAUGAAGGUCUUAGGAUUGUAAAAUUCUUUCACCGGGGACGAUAAUGACGGUACCCGGAGAAGAAGCCCCGGCUAACUUCGUGCCAGCAGCCGCGGUAAUACGAAGGGGGCUAGCGUUGCUCGGAUUUACUGGGCGUAAAGGGCGCGUAGGCGGACAUUUAAGUCAGGGGUGAAAUCCCGGGGCUCAACCUCGGAACUGCCUUUGAUACUGGGUGUCUUGAGUAUGAGAGAGGUGUGUGGAACUCCGAGUGUAGAGGUGAAAUUCGUAGAUAUUCGGAAGAACACCAGUGGCGAAGGCGACACACUGGCUCAUUACUGACGCUGAGGCGCGAAAGCGUGGGGAGCAAACAGGAUUAGAUACCCGUGUAGUCC
rnacentral:rRNA from 1 species